rnacentral:lncRNA from 1 species
CAGGUUCCUGAAGGGUGGUCGUCUGAUCCUUUGUUCACACGAUUGUGGAGAUGUAAUGCGCCUUCAAAUGUGAAGUCUUUUGGUUGGAGGUUACUUUUGGACCGUGUGCCUACUAAGCUUAACCUAUGGCGCCGUAACAUUUUGCAGUCCCCUGCUGAUCUGAUAUGCAGUUUCUGUGGACAAGCGGAAGAAUCCAGUUUGCACUUAUUCUUCUCUUGUGCUUUUGCGUGGCGAGUUUGGUCCAGUUGUUAUCUUUGGCUUGGUACGCUUACUGUGUUGCCGGUUGAGAUACAGGAACAUUUUGGGCAGUUUAGUUUUGGCUGGAACAAACAGCAACAGUAUGGUGCUUCCACAGUUUGGUUAGCCGUUGUGUGGUCUUUGUGGCUGGUUCGUAACAACUGUGUCUUCCGGGACCAGGAAGCAGCUGAAAUUCAAGAGGUUAUGGAGCUGGUUAAAUGGCGCUCUUGGGUUUGGCUUAAAUCCAAUAAUGCAGAAUUUUCAAAUUCAAUGUUUGAGUGGUCUACCUCUCCCUUGUUGUGUUUACAAUCACUGUAGUAGGUGCAGAAUUUGCUGUGUAUUGCGUUUGCAGGCUGCUGGUUGGAGUUCCACGUCUGAUAUUUAGUUGCUGUCAUCUUGGGUUGCAGUUCAAUUACAUUGUGUUGGUUGGUGAUUGUUUUGUUUUGCCUGGGUUGCUGUUACGCCAAUUUGGUAUAUUUGGCUUGGUUUAUUGGGGUCUUUGGUGUUAUUGUAAGGUAUUAUCUCCAAGUGGGGUAGGUGAGGUAAUUACAGGGUGAGGACUGGUAUUAUUUGGUUUAGUUGCAGCUGUGUCUGCAGUUAAUCUCUUUAUUUAAACUUUGUCUAGUUAGUCUUUUCCUUGUUUCUGUCUUUGUUUUGGGUUGAAGUACCCCUUGUACUUCCUUUCAAUACAAUCAUGGCU